UUUCUUUGGAAGAAAAAGACUGACUUUUUGUCCAUUUUUUCCUCUAUAGAGGUGGUUCAGCAGUGGGGGAUGAGGGACAGAAAGUCUCUUUCAGCAGGAGAUGUUAUGGGCAUCUCAAAUUAAGGUUUCCAACAAUGGUGACUUCAAUUUUUGUGAAUGGGAAGAAAAUGAAGAGUAAAGUGGCGAGGCCUUGGUUGUGGCUCAGUGGUAGAGCACUUGCCUAGCAUGCAUGAGGCACUGGGGUCGAUUCCCAGCACCACAAAAAAUAAACCAACAAAAUAAGCUGUAUCCAUCUACAAC
rnacentral:lncRNA from 1 species